rnacentral:lncRNA from 10 species
CCUGACCACUGUCGCUGGAGUCCUGGGGUGACUAAACUCUGUUCCUCCCAGACAGACAGAAGAGGUGAAGCCAUGCCUCAAGAAGCCCCAGUGCCUUGAGGAGGCCUUAGGAGUCAAUAGACCAGAAAAGAUCAGCCCCCCACUGCUGAGAGAAACUCAGUCAAGACUCACCAGCCCGUCACAUGGCGAUAAUAAGGACACAUAUUCAUACAAGCAAAGACCUCCAAAUUUCCAGACCCUUUUAUAUCCAUGCUUUUAUCUCAUCUCGAGGACAGCUCUCCAGGGCAGGUGGUAUGCUCUCCCGUUUCACAGAGGAGGCAGCAGGUGGCCCCCGUGCAGCAAAGGGAGAUGGUCCCGCUUACAUGGCUCGUUAGCCCCAGUGGAGCAGACUCAGGUUCUCGAUUCUCAACUCAGUGACCUUGGAGGGGCUCUUCCCUGAGCUGCAGCUUUGCAACCAUGCAUCACUGAAGAAUGGAACCUGAUGGAACAUUCUGGAAUUCCACUCCGAAAGUCCCAAAGCUACAACACACUUCAGUGGCCAGAACCUGGCCUCUGCCACUCCUGCUCACCCAUUGGCCCUUGCUUGGGGCUGCAUGCUUCAGCACUCUGGCGCUGCCUGUGGGGUGCAGCUGAAGGGGAAGAGCAAGCCUCACAAUUGAACACUUGCAGGAAAUGUCUGAUACUUGGGUGUGGCCUCCUGGGUUUGAUUCCUGUCCUGUAGCUCACUGGCUGUGCACUCUUGGGCAAGUGACAUCACUUCUCUAGAUCUCUGUUUCUUCAUUUGUAAAACGAAAAUAACAAUGCAUCCUUCAAGGCUGGGCACGGUGGCUCACGCCUGUAAUCCCAGCACUUUGGGAGGCUGAGGCAGGUGGAUCACUCAAGGUCAGGAGUUCGAGACCAGCCUGGUCACCAUGGCAAAAAUUAGCUGGGCGUGGUGGUGGGCACCUGUAAUCCCAGCUACUCGGGAGUAUGAGGCAGGGAGAAUAGCUUGAACCCAGGAGGCGGAGGUUGCAGUGAGCCGAGAUGACACCACUGCACUCCAGCCUGGGCGACAGAGCGAGACUCUGUCUCAAAAAAAAAAAAAAGAAACAAAGAAAGAAAGAAAAUAUUAAACACUGAAACACUAAACCACUUCUACAAUAGAUAUAAGGUCAACAGUAAGGGGGAGGUAAAUCAGUUAUAUGUCUUCAGUAGAAUACUACACAGUCAUUAAAAUGCUUGUGAAUUGAAUGAUAUGGGUGGCAGGUACCUGUAAUCCCAGCUACUCAGGAGGCU